GCUUGCACUUUGAUGACGAGUGGCGCACGGGUGCGUAACGCGUAUAGAACCUACCCUGUACAGGGGGAUAGCCCAGAGAAAUUUGGAUUAAUACCCCGUGGUAACUAUAAAUGGCAUCAUUUAUAGUUUAAAGUUUUCGGACGGUACAGGAUGGCUAUGCGUCCUAUUAGUUAGAUGGUGAGGUAACGGCUCACCAUGGCAUCGAUAGGUAGGGGCCCUGAGAGGGGGAUCCCCCACACUGGUACUGAGACACGGACCAGACUCCUACGGGAGGCAGCAGUGAGGAAUAUUGGACAAUGGGCGUAAGCCUGAUCCAGCCAUGCCGCGUGCAGGAAGACGGCCCUAUGGGUUGUAAACUGCUUUUAUACGGGAAGAAUAAGGGACACGAGUGUCCUGGUGACGGUACCGUAAGAAUAAGGACCGGCUAACUCCGUGCCAGCAGCCGCGGUAAUACGGAGGGUCCGAGCGUUAUCCGGAAUUAUUGGGUUUAAAGGGUCCGCAGGCGGGCAAUUAAGUCAGGGGUGAAAUGGUACGGCUCAACCGUAGCACUGCCCUUGAUACUGGUUGUCUUGAGUCAUAGUGAAGUGGCCGGAAUAUGUAGUGUAGCGGUGAAAUGCAUAGAUAUUACAUAGAACACCGAUUGCGAAGGCAGGUCACUAACUAUCGACUGACGCUGAUGGACGAAAGCGUGGGGAGCGAACGGGAUUAGAUACCCCGGUAGUCCACGCCGUAAACGAUGGAUACUAGCUGUCCGCUGCCUUGAGCAGUGGGCGGCCCAGCGAAAGUGAUAAGUAUCCCCACCUGGGGAGUACGUUCGCAAGAAUGAAACUCAAAGGAAUUGACGGGGGCCCGCACAAGCGGUGGAGCAUGUGGGUUUAAUUCGAUGAUACGCGAGGAACCUUACCAGGGCUUAAAUGCAUAAUGACAGGUCUAGAGAUAGACUUUUCUUCGGACAUUUUGCAAGGUGCUGCAUGGUUGUCGUCAGCUCGUGCCGUGAGGUGUCAGGUUAAGUCCUAUAACGAGCGCAACCCCUGCCGUCAGUUGCCAGCAAGUAAAGUUGGGGACUCUGACGGGACUGCCG
rnacentral:rRNA from 1 species